rnacentral:rRNA from 1 species
GCCUUACAGACUGGGACAACAUUUGGAAACGAAUGCUAAUACCGGAUAUUAUGAUUGGGUCGCAUGAUCUGGUUAUGAAAGCUAUAUGCGCUGUGAGAGAGCUUUGCGUCCCAUUAGUUAGUUGGUGAGGUAACGGCUCACCAAGACGAUGAUGGGUAGCCGGCCUGAGAGGGUGAACGGCCACAAGGGGACUGAGACACGGCCCUUACUCCUACGGGAGGCAGCAGUGGGGAAUAUUGGACAAUGGACCAAAAGUCUGAUCCAGCAAUUCUGUGUGCACGAUGAAGUUUUUCGGAAUGUAAAGUGCUUUCAGUUGGGAAGAAGUCAGUGACGGUACCAACAGAAGAAGCGACGGCUAAAUACGUGCCAGCAGCCGCGGUAAUACGUAUGUCGCAAGCGUUAUCCGGAUUUAUUGGGCGUAAAGCGCGUCUAGGCGGCUUAGUAAGUCUGAUGUGAAAAUGCGGGGCUCAACCCCGUAUUGCGUUGGAAACUGCUAAACUAGAGUACUGGAGAGGUAGGCGGAACUACAAGUGUAGAGGUGAAAUUCGUAGAUAUUUGUAGGAAUGCCGAUGGGGAAGCCAGCCUACUGGACAGAUACUGACGCUAAAGCGCGAAAGCGUGGGUAGCGAACAGGAUUAGAUACCCUGGUAGUCCACGCCGUAAACGAUGAUUACUAGGUGUUGGGGGU